rnacentral:rRNA from 1 species
GAUGAACGCUGGCGGCGUGCCUAAUACAUGCAAGUCGAGCGAACAGACGAGGAGCUUGCUCCUCUGACGUUAGCGGCGGACGGGUGAGUAAUACGAGGAUAACCUACCUAUAAGACUGGGUUAACUUCGGGAAAACGGAGCUAAUACCGGAUAAUAUAUUGAACCGCAUGGUUCAUUAGUGAAAGACGGUUUUGCUGUCACUUAUAGAUGGAUCCGCGCCGCAUUAGCUAGUUGGUAAGGUAACGGCUUACCAAGGCAACGAUGCGUAGCCGACCUGAGAGGGUGAUCGGCCACACUGGAACUGAGACACGGUCCAGACUCCUACGGGAGGAAGCAGUAGGGAAUCUUCCGCAAUGGGCGAAAGCUUGACGGAGCAACGCCGCGUGAGUGAUGAAGGUCUUCGGAUCGUAAAGCUCUGUUAUUAGGGAAGAACAAAUGUGUAAGUAUCUAUGCACGUCUUGACGGUACCUAAACAGAAAGCCACGGCUAACUACGUG